CCCGCUCCGGGCGCUGAGGAGAGCGGCGGGCCCUCCUCGCCCCGGUCUAGAGUUAGGGGGGCCGCGGGCCAUCCCGCCCCCUCCUCCGGCGGGGCCAGCGCGGGCUCCUUCGGACACCGACGCUGCCGGUUGUCUCGGGGUUGUUUGCCCGCGCCUUUGAACCGGGAACUGGUGUUUGUUUGAAUUUGUCGUCCUCGUUUCCGAGGAGUUCUGGCGGCGGUUCGCUUUCGGGUCACAGAGAGGUGCCUUCUUUACAAAGAAACGGGGGACGGAUCCGUUACGUUAUCUGAAUAUAUAUUAAUGUAGCUGUGUUAAUGCCCGUUUACCUGCUGCCAGGUCCUUCCCUGCUCGCCUAGCGGGUUAAAGGGCAGUGCAGCGGAGAGCCACGUCUCUCAAUCUGUAGUAGAGCCAUAAAAUUCAUAACCUGGAUGAUUCACAGAGGAAAUCCUAGACCAGAACAAUGCUAAGUCUCUGAGGACCCACCUUGGAAAAAAAUAACGCGGUGCAUAAUGGCUGUAUAGAAAUUCACAUCUCUCUUUCAGUUGUCCUCUCCAGUGGCUCCAGUAUGGCAUGAAGCUGGUUGAGAAACGACGUCUCAAUGGCUGGAUAAAUCUGCCAGCUCUCUCACUUCAACUGAAACGUCUCGGGAAACCCCGCUGAGCUCCCGAUUUCUACCAGACUUGGCAGAAGCACAAUUUAGCAGUUAAUCCAGGUCUUCAUAGAAGCCAGACUUUCCACCUGCAGGCAGGCUGCACGACUACUCCUCUGGGGCCCCCCAGCUAAUGGAGCCCACCACAGGGUGACACUCAUGCUGUCACGGAGAAGAAACUUGCAGCACAAGUGCUGGGACUUCAGUUUUGCAGUGCAGGGAAAAUGUCUUUAUGAGGAGCAAGGGGUAAUAAUAAUCGCAGAAGAGUUGAAGUGACAGAAGCAGAAGCAGAAUAUCUCUACCGAGAUUUUUUCAAGCAGGAUCCGUGGGACUGAUGCAACGCCAGUGUUAAAGCAGGUGGCUGCACAGCCGCAGUUGUAUCGGCGGACACAGGAACAUGUGGCCAUACCAGCUGGGGAGGAGGGAGUGAAUGAUAUCCACUUACCCUGCCCCAGCUGCAUUGGCUGAACUUGGGAUGUUUGAGGCUACAAGUGCCCCCGAGCUACUGCAUCCUCCUCAGAGGUACAUGGCAGAGUCGAGUCGGCAACAGCGCCUGGAGCUCCUUGGUUCUGCUCUGCAGCAGCAGAGCCCCGUAGGAAGACACUGUGUCAAGCCUUAGCCAGAAGCGUCAAGAACAGAGUCCCCUUAAAGGCGACCCAGAAUGGAAAAAAAUGUAUUUGUCCCCUUCUGGGGGAUAAAAAGGCCUAAGAAAAUC